rnacentral:snRNA from 1 species
GUGCUCACUUUGGCAGCACAUACUAAAAACUGGAAUAAUACAGAGAUUAGCAUGGCUCUUGUGCAUGCAUGACAUGCAGAUUUGUGAAGUAUUUCAUAUUUUU